UACGGAGGGUGCAAACGUUGCUCGGAAUCAUUGGGCGUAAAGCGCACGUAGGCGGCUUCUUAAGUCAGGGGUGAAAUCCUGGAGCUCAACUCCAGAACUGCCCUUGAUACUGAGGAGCUCGAGUCCGGAAGAGGUGAGUGGAACUCCGAGUGUAGAGGUGAAAUUCGUAGAUAGUCGGAAGAACACCAGUGGCGAAGGCGGCUCACUGGUCCGGUACUGACGCUGAGGUGCGAAAGCAUGGGUAGCGAACAGG
rnacentral:rRNA from 1 species